GCAACUCCUGGCGGCGAGCCGGCGAACGGGUGAGGAAACCAUCGGAACGUGCCCGAGNAGUGGGGGAUAACGCCGCGUAAAGCGGCGCUAAUACCGCAUAUUCUCUGAGGAGGAAAGUGGGGGGCCUGCAAGGGCCUCACGCUCACGGAGCGGCCGAUGUCGGAUUAGCUAGUUGGUGGGGUAAAGGCUUACCAAGGCGACGAUCCGUAGCUGGUCUGAGAGGAUGAUCAGCCACACUGGGACUGAGACACGGCCCAGACUCCUACGGGAGGCAGCAGUGGGGAAUUUUGGACAAUGGGGGCAACCCUGAUCCAGCCAUGCCGCGUGCGGGAAGAAGGCCUUCGGGUUGUAAACCGCUUUUAGCCGGGAAGAAAAGGCAAGGGACAAUACCCCUUGUUCUUGACGGUACCGGCGGAAUAAGCACCGGCUAACUACGUGCCAGCAGCCGCGGUAAUACGUAGGGUGCGAGCGUUAAUCGGAAUUACUGGGCGUAAAGCGUGCGCAGGCGGUUCGUUAAGUCAGAUGUGAAAGCCCCGGGCUCAACCUGGGAACUGCAUUUGAAACUGGCGGGCUUGAGUAUGGCAGAGGGGGGUGGAAUUCCGCGUGUM
rnacentral:rRNA from 1 species